GCGCUUGUAGCUCAGCUGGAUAGAGCGACAGCCUCCGGAGCUGUAGGCCCGGCGUUCGAAUCGCCGCAGGCGCACCA
rnacentral:tRNA from 1 species